GAUAAACGCUGGCGGCGCACAUAAGACAUGCAAGUUGAACGGACUUAAUCGAAAUAUUUAUAUUUUGAAGCGGUUAGUGGCGGACUGGUGAGUAACGCGUAAGGAACCUGCCUAUUAGAGGGGAAUAACAGUGAGAAAUCAUUGCUAAUACCGCAUAUGCCAUAGAUAUCACAUGAUAACAGUGGGAAAGGAGCAAUCCGCUAAUAGAUGGCCUUGCGUCUGAUUAGAUAGUUGGUGGGGUAACGGCCUACCAAGUCGACGAUCAGUAGCCGGACUGAGAGGUUGAACGGCCACAUUGGGACUGAGAUACGGCCCAGACUCCUACGGGAGGCAGCAGUCGGGAAUAUUGCGCAAUGGAGGAAACUCUGACGCAGUGACGCCGCGCAUAGGAAGAAGGUUUUCGGAUUGUAAACUAUUGUCGUUAGGGAAGAGAAAGGACAGUACCUAAGGAGGAAGCUCCGGCUAACUACGUG
rnacentral:rRNA from 1 species